UCGAGCGCGCAUCGGCUUAGCAGCGCGCGCUCCGUUGCGGUAGCGCGUCCACCUCCCGGUCGUUUCGGCCCGCACGGUUCCUCCGAGGGUGCUCUUCGCCGAGUGUCCGAGGCGGCCGGUACGUUCACUGUGAAAAAAUUAGAGUGCUCAGAGCGAGCCCCGCCGGCUUGCAUACGAAAAGCAUGGAAUGAUGGAAAAUGGCCUCGUCCGCGCGUCAUCCGUCGGUCUCCGUUCACGACGAGGCAAUGAUCGAAGGGAGCGAUCGGGCCACUCGUAUUGCGACGUUAGAGGUGAAAUUCUUGGAUCGUCGCAAGACGCACUGCAGCGACGGCGUGUGGCAAGCACGUUUUCCUCGAUCAAGAGCGAAAGUCGGAGGUUCGAAGACGAUCAGAUACCGUCGUAGUUCCGACCGUAAACGAUGCCGACUGGCGCUCUGCCGGCGUUCGCUUCGAUGACCCGGCGGGGAGCCUGCGCGGGAAACCAUAGUCGGUUCCGGGGGGAGUAUGGUUGCAAAACAGAACUUAAAGGAAUUGACGGAAGGGCACCACCAGGAGUGGAGCCUGCGGCUUAAUUUGACUCAACACGGAAAACUCACCCGGUCCGGACACGGUAGGAUUGACAGAUCGAUAGCUCUUUCUCGAUUCGGUGGGUGGUGGAGAGCGGGUGAUAGUAGUGUUGGGAGAGGAAGA